UACGAAGGGGGGCUAGCGUUGUUCGGAUUUACUGGGCGUAAAGCGCACGUAGGCGGAUCGAUCAGUCAGGGGUGAAAUCCCAGAGCUCAACUCUGGAACUGCCUUUGAUACUGUCGAUCUGGAGUAUGGAAGAGGUGAGUGGAAUUCCGAGUGUAGAGGUGAAAUUCGUAGAUAUUCGGAGGAACACCAGUGGCGAAGGCGGCUCACUGGCCCGAUACUGACGCUGAGGUGCGAAAGCGUGGGGAGCAAACAGG
rnacentral:rRNA from 1 species